UCCGAAGGGGGCUAGCGUUGUUCGGAAUCACUGGGCGUAAAGCGCACGCAGGCGGAUUGAUAAGUCAGGGGUGAAAUCCCGGAGCUCAACUUCGGAAUUGCCUUUGAUACUGUCUAUCUUCGAGUUCGGGAGAGGUUGGCGGAAUUCCUAGUGUAGAGGUGAAAUUCGUAGAUAUUAGGAAGAACACCAGUGGCGAAGGCGGCCAACUGGCCCGAUACUGACGCUCAUGUGCGAAAGCGUGGGGAGCAAACAGG
rnacentral:rRNA from 1 species